GAUGAACGCUGGCGGCGUGCCUAAUACAUGCAAGUCGAGCGAACGGACGAGAAGCUUGCUUCUCUGAUGUUAGCGGCGGACGGGUGAGUAACACGUGGAUAACCUACCUAUAAGACUGGGAUAACUUCGGGAAACCGUAGCUAAUACCGGAUAAUAUUUUGAACCGCAUGGUUCAAAAGUGAAAGACGGUCUUGCUGUCACUUAUAGAUGGAUCCGCGCUGCAUUAGCUAGUUGGUAAGGUAACGGCUUACCAAGGCAACGAUGCAUAGCCGACCUGAGAGGGUGAUCGGCCACACUGGAACUGAGACACGGUCCAGACUCCUACGGGAGGCAGCAGUAGGGAAUCUUCCGAAAUGGGCGAAAGCCUGACGGAGCAACGCCGCGUGAGUGAUGAAGGUCUUCGGAUCGUAAAACUCUGUUAUUAGGGAAGAACAUAUGUGUAAGUAACUGUGCACAUCUUGACGGUACCUAAUCAGAAAGCCACGGCUAACUACGU
rnacentral:rRNA from 1 species